rnacentral:rRNA from 1 species
UACGGAGGAUGCGAGCGUUAUCCGGAUUUAUUGGGUUUAAAGGGUGCGUAGGCGGGUUAUCAAGUCAGCGGUAAAAUCGUGGAGCUCAACUCCAUCCAGCCGUUGAAACUGAUGAUCUUGAGUGGGCGAGAAGUAUGCGGAAUGCGCGGUGUAGCGGUGAAAUGCAUAGAUAUCGCGCAGAACUCCGAUUGCGAAGGCAGCAUACCGGCGCCCGACUGACGUUGAGGCUCGAAAGCGUGGGGAGCAAACAGG